rnacentral:rRNA from 1 species
AUGCAGGCUCUGAUGGAUGUUCGGUGCAAGAAUCUAGUGAAUCCUGUAUGCGACUGGCUCGGUGAGAUUUACGAGCCCGCCUCCAGGGAAUUUGUGAUUCCGGGACGUGGAAGACUGUCGUUAGACGAGGAAUCCGUGUUCUACACGUUGGGUGUGCCCCGCGGAGAGAUCAAAGUCCCGUAUGAGGUCAAUAAUACGAUUGAGGAAACGUUGUUUGCCCGUUUGUUUCCUGGGUUGACAUCCAUGCCGAACACGACCGUGCUGGCAAAUUCACUUGAGGGCAUGACAACCCCUGGCGAGGUUUUCAAGAUGAAGCUACUCAUGUACCUGAUCUCAGCUGUUUUUGCGUCGACCACAUCUCUUCGCCCAAGCAACAAAUGCUUCCCCAUCCUGGCAAAACUGAAAGAAGUGAAGAACAUGAAUUGGUGUAAGUUCAUUGCGGACUUCCUGCAUGAUGCAUUCUCAAACAAGAUGUACCAGAAGGGUUGUCGGCUCCAUUUAAUGCUCAUGUACGUCGAUCGUCUUGAUCUGUCUACUGUGGACUUUACUGGGAUAGGAGGUCCGCCGCCUCCACACAAGUUUGCUGUUUCUACGUGGACUUACGAUGCUGUCAAGGCGGUGCUUGCCGCGGACAAGAUAACUGGUACGAAAUAG